rnacentral:misc_RNA from 1 species
AAACCGCCUACGGUUUCUCGAAGCCGCAGUUAACUCUGCUCCAGAAAGCCGCCCGAAAGGGUCAGUGGUGUUCCUUGGCCCCCCCUCCCCGGGGGGCCUGAACUAAUGGCUAGUCUCUCCGGAGGCGACAUCCUCAAAUUGCGGGAAACUCCUAAAGCUCACACUACCAAGCAGCCCCCGAAAGGGAGGCUGUGGCCGGGGUAAUGACCUAGGGUACGGUAAAAACGUGCUGAGAUACAGUGGACGAUCCGCAGCCAAGCCCCUACGUGCGCCAGCAUACGGGGAAGGUCCAGAGACUUGACGGGGGUGGGUGGGCCUGCGCUCCAGGCCUGCCUAAGAUAAAGUCCGGCCCUGCGCGAAAGCGCAGCGGGUAAAAACUGCUUCUGCAAUAUUUUUCGAUACUGCAAAGGCCCCUAGAAACG